rnacentral:snoRNA from 1 species
GUGUGUGUGUGCGUGUGUGUCUGUAUGUGUGCGUGUGUGUCUGUGUGCGUGUGUGUGUCCGUGUGCGUGUCUGUGUGCGUGUGAGUGUGUGCGCGUGUGGAGCGCGAGUCAGGGGUGUCCGUGUGUGCGGCACCAGCCAUCCUCCCCUCCCUACACGUUGAUCUUAUUCGAUCGGCCGGGCCCCGCCGGGCCGAGGUGAGAAGAAAGUGCCGCGAAGCCCUCGGGCGCUGUGCGGUUGGGCCGGGCGGGAUGAGUCGAUCAGAUAGGCGAGGCCACGGCCGCUGAGCGCCCUGCGAUUCUGACCCGC